rnacentral:lncRNA from 1 species
CUUCAUUAUUACCAAAACAAGAGGCAUUCUAGGUGAGCCAUGACUCCACAGACAGACCUGUCUGGGAUGUGCCUCCCUGAGAAGAGCUCAGCACAAUAUCUGUCUUCCAGAGAGGCUUGUGUGUCUGGUGCAGACAGGACAGACUUGAGGAGCCCCAUCUGCUGCAGUGAGUCAUCGCUUUGCGCCUCCCAGCAGGAUCCACACCUGUUAGCAGGGCGAGAAGAGCGAGCUGCCAGCCUGUUACGCGGCAAUGCUCUCUGUGCACGUUGUAGGGCCAAAUCACAAACAUGAGGCUGCAAUAAAACGCAACAUCUCCGUAAAUCUGUCACCCGCCGGACACGGCUGGAAAUGCCUGGGUCUCACCCUCCUGUGCAAAACUCCCAGCUCAGUGUUAUCAGCAAACUCAGAAAGCCAACAUUUACAAAACCAGCAAGUAUCAGCAGAGUCAGCUAUUGGAAGUACAUGCAGAUCCAUUUCAGACAUCUACAAUGAAAUUUUCUUCUUUAAGUCGCUCAGUGUACUUUCCUCUGCUGUUCAUAUGAUACAGAAAACACAUGACAGGUAUUAUUUUAGUAAUCCAUUUUAUUUCAUUUGGUAAAAUAAGGCAUUUGAUAUCUUUGUACAAAAGUUUGAAGGUGUUUGAUAAAUGCUCUUCCACGAAAUCACCCAAUUUAGUGGGCACAUUAAUAAGUAAGUAUAUCUGGA